rnacentral:rRNA from 1 species
AUUGAACGCUGGCGGCAGGCUUAACACAUGCAAGUCGAGCGAGCGGCGGACGGGUGAGUAAUGUCUGGGAAACUGCCUGAUGGUGGGGGUUAACUACUGGAAACGGUAGCUAAUACCGCAUACCAUCAGAUGUGCCCAGAGGGGAUUAGCUAGUAGGUGGGGUAAUGGCUCACCUAGGCGAGGAUCCCUAGCUGGUCUGGGAGGAUGACAAGCCACACUGGAACGAAGCCACGGUCUCGAAUCCGACGGGAGACAGCAGUGGAGAAUAUUGCAAAAUGGGCGAAAGCCUGAUACGGCCAUGCCGCGUGUGUGAAGGAGGCCUUCGGGUUGUAAAGCACUUUCAGCGAGGGGGCGUUACUCGCAGAAGAAGCACCGGAUAACUCCGGGCCAGCAGCCGCGGUAAUAC